AACACAAAAACACACACACAAAAGUGAAAAAACACAUUUCAUUGAGAAAUCCCUAAAUCCCAAAACACUCUCUCAUCGCCACCACAGUCACACUCCGGCGCAACUUUCUUCAUCGUUCCCUUCCAGAAAAGUGAAUGGGUUCAUCGUUCUCUCCAAUCGUUGGUAUCAAAACUCACUCUCCAAUCUUUCACCUUAAAUCCCUUAAUCACUCUCUCCAAUCGAUCUCUUUACUGUUCCCGUCGAGAGAAGUAAGAUUUGUGUUGAGCAUAAAGAAGAAGUGAGAAUCCUUAGGCCGCCGACCCUCUGACCGCCUCUGUACCGAACCUCCACCUCAUACUCCGGCGCUCUGCCGUUCUUUCAAAGCUCGACUGCUCUAUCUACCCGUCGUUGCUUCUCGUUCCAUUGUUCUGUCAUCUGCUUCCACUGUUCGUUGUAGAUAAAAUGAAAAUGGCGACUUCACCAUAUGAGGAGCCACGGAGCAAAAUAAUAGAAGAGAAUGCUAAAAGGAUGGAAUCAUUCUUAUGAGUUUAUACAAAUGCAUUUUUAUCAUACAAAUGCAUUUUUCUUAUGGGUGUAUCAUAAUUUUGAUUUCUUGUCUCUUGAAACUAAGUUGAUUGCAAGUACUCAAAUUAUGUACUUUGGAUGCUGAAAUUGGUCCUACCUUAUUUGACUGAAUUUUUUAUUAUGGUCUGUUAGGAUUUGGCAUUUGAUUACUUGUCUCUUUCUGUCUUGCUGGGAGAUAACUUCUACAACUACAACUUUGGAGAUCUACUCGCCCACCCUGUUGUAUGAGCUGAAGUUAUUAAUCUAGCCUUGUUCUAGUUACACUACACAUGUCAUUGAAGAGCAGAGUUCUUAUGGUUCCAUGGACUGGUUUCAAAUUCUUCUUUCAAGUGUUAAGGAUGAGAAGUCAACCAACUGGUUGUUUGCAGAAUCCGUUCAGAUGAAGGGGAAACCAAUCACACAUAAGACAAAUUGUUAUGUUCUGUUUCUGAAGUCUGAAUGCGAACCCUCUGCGAGACCACCGUGAGGCAACGCGAAAGUUGUUUGCUACCACACCAUCACUAUCUUCAAUCAAUGGCUCCAGUUGCAGUGGGAGAUGUGAUUCUAGACGGAGCUUAAUUUUGUUGCCCUUAUUUAUUGUCAUUUGUGUGUGUGCUAUAGGUCCGGGGUUUUUUAUGAUUGAGUCCAUUCGUUUUUUUAAGUAUCCUAAUAGUUAUGUUUUUUCAGGUAACCAAAUAAGAAGAGUCAAGAGAUGGUAGCACUAAUUAAGGAUUAUGAAGCAACAUCAUUUACUAGGGAAUGUUUAGAUAUUUUAAGAACUUAUUUUGCCAUAAUGUUUUGUAUGUUUAACCACUAUACUAAUGUUUAUGUUUUAGUUUUUCAAUGUUUGAACUACAUUGAUUUUUUUUC